AAGGAAAUGAAAUUAAGCUGUUUCCCAGAUUCGCUCUUCAAAAUUAGUCCUGGGCUGGCCUUCAAUACUGCAAACACAUUCUGUGUGGCCACAAGGGAGGACUGCAUAGAAUUCUUGGACCAACUACGAAGCUUUGGGGGCCUGACAAGCUGAGAAAGUGCGAGAAAAAAUGACACAGCAGUCUAGCUGUGACAACUUCAUUACGAAGAAUGUUCGCUUUCUCAGUUCAUAACAGCGGCCAUUCUACAAGCAAAUUUUAAAAGACCCUCUCAAACCUGCAAGCCAAGAAUAACGACAUCCUCAUCAAAGAUGUAGAAAGGGCUGCUCCGAGUGUUGUGGGUGCUAACCUGGAAUCGUUAUCUGUUACGCGAGCAAAUCCAUCAAAUCCGACCAGACUUGCCGCCAGCAGGCCAGCCCAUGGAAGCCAGUGGCUUGGUGCUCAACUUCAGCUGCUGGCAGAAAGGAGAAAAAGACAUCACCCAUCCGAAAAAUUUUAAUCCCCCAGCAAAAUACAAUACUCAAUUUUUCAUUAACCUUCUGACACCUGGACUCACAGAGUAUCCCCACACUAAUCACUAAUGGGUUUUGCAUUACCAAUUAGUGUAGCAAAUUCUCCAGCAUUGGUGCCAAAGGGUUAAUCAUUAGUUUCACACCACUGGGUGGUCAGAGUCAGAAGAGCAGCCCCUGAACCCAAAAGAGUGGAGAGUGAGGGGCUGGGGGGUGGAGAGAGCUCUCAUUAUCAAGAAGAAACAUGCAGCUCAUAGGCAUUGACCUCCAUAUCUCUCUCCUGGCAUCUUGCCUCAAGGUGGAUUUAAGUAUUAUACAAGUAUGCACGUGUGCACACACAUGCACACAUGUUUAGACACAGUUCUGGGCCCAGAACAAAUCACCAACCUAGCCAGUUUCUAUUGAGUCUGUCCCAUCAAAGGUAGAUCAGGCCAGAGGAAUUCUCUCUCUCUCUCUCUCUCUCUCUCUCUCUCUCUCUCAGCACCUCUGUCUCUUUGCUUCUCUAAGCAAUGACUUUCCCAUGGGAAUGAAAAAAUUUGCCAUUUCAGAGGGAGCUGGGUUUUGAGAAGUGUUUGAUCUCUCUUAAGAGAUACUUCUCUGAAGUUCUGCCAACCCUCGAUUAUCUGUACAAAUGAGGCUUACAGAAAGUAUGGAAAGAUUCGAUUCACAGAUAAUCUUCAAACUCCGGUUUGGUCUAUAUCUUAGUUUCUUUCUGAACAAAUUGUACCAGGGCAAUUAACAAACAAAACUGAUUGGAUGUUUCCUUUCUCCUUUUAUGGUCAAUUUUGUGGAUGUCAGCAGCAUGAGGAAAUUGUCAAAACACUGGCAAAGGGGAGAGAGGAAAGGGAAGAAACAAAAUACCCAGAUAGUCUGCAAGCUAGAUAAUCUGCUCCUGAAUAAUUGAGAAGAAUCUAAUUUCAAAGAUAAUAAAAGAAGGCUCAGAGAGCAAUUCCAUCUUGAAAAUGCACAACCCCUUCCCCCUAACCCCAAAAUAGCCGGUAGGAAAACAAAUAAGUAAACAAGAAAACCGCAAGAAAAAUUUGAACCUACUGUCCCCAUCCACAUUUUCCCUGAUCUAAUCUACAUGUGUUCUAAGUUAAAUUAUAUUCUAAAGAGGUGCAGGGCGGGGAGGAAGAGAAGGAAACACAGAAGACACUUCUCACUUGUGUCCCGUCUAGCUGUCUUGCUUUGUCGUCAGGUACUGAAAGCUAACACGGUUGCUUUCAAAACUAUAUGGUCUAAAACUUCCGAAAGUGACCCACUUCCACACUUCUCUCUCCUCUCUCUCUCUCUCUCUCUCUCUCUCUCUCUCUCUCCCCCCUUUUUUUUUUAGAAAACCCAACAUUCAAAAAAAAGAACAGCAAUGACUCAGCACUUUAUUAUUUAUUUUUUAGUCCCAAAGUUUUGACUCCUUACACACACACACACACACACACACACAAAAUGCUUAUGCGCAUUUGAAACUGAAAUGGGAAACUUUGCCACACUCGAUUCUCCACGGUGCUUCCACUCAAAGCCAGAAUUUAAAACUUUUCAGUUAAGGGAAGAAAGACUCUUAAUGAGCCUAAUCAUGCACAUUAUUUUGGCUGGAAUCAUUGACUGACUGCACUUACUUAGUUCUGCUUUAGAAAUGAAAAUCUAAUAAAGUAACUGGCAGUUUAAAUGUCACAGAAAUUUUCUCCAACAUCCCAACUGGAAUUGUGAAAACAGGCUCAAAUUCCUCUAAUCUCUCUCUCUUUCACCUUCAAAUGCCACUCUUCUAAACCAAACCAUUUCCUAAGAAAUAGCAGAACUCGGCUGGGUUCAGAGGUCGGGGCAAGGGUGGGGAGGAGGAAGACUCUUUCUUCAAGUUGGAAGGGAUUUGCUUUUUUCCACACACUAAGGCAAGAAGGACCGGAAUCUUGAGGCUGGGAGUGUUCUGCCUCUUGCAAGGGAAUUCAAAGGAGUCAUUGUAUUUGAUACUUUGCUUCCCAAUUGGCCUCUGACAGCAACAUCAGAAGCAACAGAUACUUCAGUUCUACAUCUGGAAAGAGGCAUUUCUUUUUACAAAGAAAAAGAAAAAAAACCACUCCUAAAGACAUUGAAGCCUAAUUACUCUAUAUCCCAUAAUCUUAAAGAUUGGGAUCUCUCUGAUACUAUGUGAUAACCCCUUGAGGAAUGGGAGCAGCUCCAUUAGGACUUGAACAGAUAGCAUCUCUAUACUUUCCCCUCUAUAAAACUAAUAUUCAAAAUAAAUAUACUGGCUGGAUGCUUUCGUUUCCCCUGCCACUGAAUUGUAAUGAUCUUUGUGCAGGGUACAAUACCAUUUAUUAAGGUAUCAAGUAGACAAUAAACUCUUCACUAAAAUGUAACAGGGAUUUUGUACAGGACUAAACGUUCAAGGAAUCAGUUUAGGCUAAUCACUGGCCCACUUGCUUUUCAAGAAGAUGUAUGCACCAAAUCCUCAUAUUUGUGAUGGAGACUUUAGAGUUCUGAAUGGUGCUGAAUGGUGCUUUAGAGUUCUGAACGGUCUAUGGUGUAGACCAUAGCAUCAUAAAUUCAUGCUAAGGAACAGAAAGUAUUCUGAGCAUCAUGGUUACUACAGUCAUGGUGGUUGGGACCACUACAUAAUAUGCCCUGGAAGAAAUAUCCCCCAUUUCUAGGGCUGCUGUGACCCAGAGAUGAGCUAAAGAAAGGAAAAAAAAAAAAAGAGAGACAAAGGAUGGUAGUAGCAAUCUGGGAAGCACUGAGGGAGGUACAGGAGAGAGGGUGAAGCAGGAGAGAGGGCAGUAGUUGGUUUAUGAAACCAUUAGCAAGCAUCAUAAGAGAACAACAGACAACCACUGAGAAAGCAUCCAUUCCCGAAUUUUAGUUAUACGUGAAGACCCCUAGGUAAUUUUGGUUGUUCUGUCAGCCAAGUCAAACCAGGCCUCUCAGAAGCCAAUGGAAACGUCUCAGGUUUUCUCAUUCUGCUAUUCUGAUGGAAAUUAAACUUGUAAAUCAAUAACAAGACAGAACCAACUCUGUGUAAAAGCACUACUCCUUUAUCCUCUAUUCUCCAGCAUUCUUGCCCAAAUGAUUUAAGAUUCCCAAAGGCAAGUGAAAAGAUUUAAGUUUGAGACUUGUUUGUAAAAUUUCAGCUUAAGUCUCCUAUUGAAAGAACAUUGUAAAGUAGGCAUGGAGGAAAAAAAAUGUAUGGCACUCAUACACUCAUGGGCUACUCCUCAAAAACUUUUGAAGUGACUGACAUGGGCAUCCCAGGGGAAUCUCGGAUUAUACACAUGACAAACAUCAACAGACUUCUCCAAUUUGCCCUUGUUCAUCCUUUGCUGGCUCUCCUCCACCUCUGCCCUUCUCCUGGGCAUCUUUUUUCCUUUUUUUUUUUUUUUUAAUGUAUGUCAUCUGCUAUUCUUUCCUCUAGAUUUACCAUCUGUUAUUCAGCUUUAUUUUUUCCUAUUGUAUAUUUCUGUCACAACUUCUUUAUUUUUAUUAUCCCACGAUAAGCACUGCAUUCCUCUAGACCACAUGCACAACACUAAAGAAGUCCUCCAACUAACGAUAUUGAUUCCCAUUAUGGAGACAGCCACUUUCCCCGGCUCUCAGUUGUCUUUCUCACUCUACCAGUUAAGACUUUCCACAUCUUGAGCAAGAUUAAGAAACGUGUGCUCAUUGUUGGCCCCUUGCUGCUGCAGAAAUGAUGAUGUUUGCUGAGAAAUCUUGAAAAAAACACCAAGCAAAAUGAGAGUAUGACAUUCCCAGCUAAGAUCAGAACCCAUACUUGGGAAGAGUGUCAUCCAACCCCUGAUGCUUGAACCUCAAUCCUGAGACCCCAGGAGCACCCAGUGCAUCCAUGUUUCUCAAAAGACUUCAGUCUGGUUCUUGAUUUUUAACUCCAUACCUCUGCUUACUGAAAAAUUAGACUGAAGCCUAAUUUGGGGCAAUCUCAUUUCCUAGUGACUUUGCAGUCACUUACUCUUUUGAACACUUUUUUUGGGCUUUGCCAAAAUCCUGCAUUUUCAUUCACUCCAUUGUAAAGGCUUCUUUUCAGCUAUAAAGUCUUAUGUCAACAAAAAAAUGGAAAAACAUUCCAUGCUCAUGGAUUGGAAGAACAAA